AUCUUUUCUUAAUAAAAGCAUUGGAUGAUUACCGGUAUUAGUUUUAGCAUUUAUUGUUGUGUUUCUUUACAAAUGACUUUAUGUUAAACUCAUUCUAUUUUGUGUCGACGUGUACUUAUCGAUGACUUGAAGUGCAGACUGAUUUACCCCACCCGCUAAUGUUGAACUUGUAGUUGUUCUACUUCUAAAUGUUGUGAUUGAACAAUACUUUACCUCGAAAUUGUUGAUAAUAACAUCAUGAUCAUGAAAAUGAAUAUGACAUCAUGAUACUGUUUGUGUUUGCUAUUUUUAAACAAGUGUAUUGUAUUGGUGAGUUAAGUAGAUCACUAGAUGCUGAUGGUACCUUAUGUAUUUAAUAAUUGUAGAAAAAUCACCAUAAUUGUUUCUAUAUUGUUCUCAUUUGAUUACAAUGUUGUUUGAUUGGUCAUUGUCAGCUCGGAUACUACUUACCUGUACCCCGGGUACUCUUUAAGUAUACUUACAUGUAGAGCUAACCCUGUUACAGUUAAUAUACUUUAACAUAGCCAGAAAUUUAAUGCUAAAUGGGUUGUUGUAGGCUUAAUUUUUUUUAAUUAUGUUCACAUUUAUGUCAAUUUUUUUCUCAAAUAGUCUUUAUAUCAUCGAAAUUUAUACUCAAAAAGCAUGUUGAUGCAGUUUUUUCAAAAGGUAAGUUUUAUUUAGAUAAACAAUAUGGCUUUACAUUUAUCUGUAGUGCACUGUACCACAUCUUAUUUUGGGCAGGAGAACAACUGGGGUACAGUCUUAUAAGGACCGGGUAUGUUUAAGUAUAUUAACCUUACCCGAGGUACAUGCAAGUAUGCUUAAUGGUACCAGGGGUACAUGUAAGUACCCAAGCUGUGAAUAACCAAUCGAGCGUGAGUAAAUUAGAUUGUACCUUAUGUCUUUAAUAAUUGCAGAACAAUUACCUUAAUUAUUUCUAUAUUGUUUUCAUUUGAUUACAAUUUAUUUAUUUGUCAAAUUAAAUUCUGCAGUGCUAUAAAUAUGCACCCCCCAUCCAAAAAAUUUAUUUCAUGCAUAUUGAUGGGGCUUUUUUAUUUAUUUACUCCUUUUCUGCAUUCCUCCCUUUUGUGUUGGUAAUGUGAACACGAAAUGAUGAGCACUCUCAUGUUAAUGAAUAACUUUUAUUUUUUAUAGAUUUUGGCAUAUUGCAUAUUGCCAAGGGAGAUGUUUACUGAGGAUUCCAUGCCAUUAAUGUGCAGGCUGUUGCUGACGCCAGCAUGAGCAAUAUCUGAGCACCAAUGAUGAGGGUCAUCUGCUGGGAGAUAGUGGGUAUCUGUUAAGGACUAACCUGAUGACCCCUUAACCUCAUCCCUCCCAUGCUGCGGAACAGGCCUACAAUGACCAUCUUUGUAGAGCGUGGGUAGUAAAAAGGGCAUUUGGAGUGUUGAAAUCACGAGAUUGAUAUCUGCAUGGCACUGGUGGAUGUUGGCCUUUCAAGUCCAAUAAGUGCUGUGAAAUAUCAAGUGUGUACAUGCCCCUGCAUAACCUGUGUCUGGAUUCAAACGUUCCACUGAUAGAGGAAUUGGUUGGAAACGUGAUGGAACCGGAAGUUAUGAACAACACACCAGUACAUCGAGCAGCAUGUGAUAAGAGGCAGCAGCUGAUCAAACUGUUUCAUUUUUUUUUUAAAUUGUAGUUAUAAAUGUUAUAAAGUGAUAGAUGGCUUGAGUCUUCUCUGAAUAGGCAGAGCUACACUACUCAGCCAAAUGGCGUAAAGUUGUGUCAUCGCUGAUUUGGAAGGAUUGGUAUUCCUGGUCGUCUAGACACAAUAGUUACAACAGCUGAUGUUUGCAUGUUUUAUAAUUGUGUAUACAUAAUUUGUCUAAUAUUUACUUCAAGGUUAUAGGUUUGUGAAAGAAAAAAAUGCCAAUGUUCUGAGGACCAAUAAAAAAGUUAUGUGUUAGAUAUUACCAAGUGCCUUAUUUAAUAUUUAUUUUAAAGGGAACUUUUCCUAAAUUUUGGCAGAUAUUUAAGUUUUUCAUUAAACGCUUUUAUAUUGAUACAUGUAAACACUGGAUCUAAAAAGCUCCAGUAAAAAAAGAAUACAAUUAAAGAAAGAUAAAAAGUAACUCCUACAGGGCUCAAACCACUGACCCCUGAAGUAAAAGCCUCACUAAGACCACUUGUCCGUCCAUGUUGAUACAAUGAGUGAUGUAUUUUACACUUUAUAUAAGCAAUCCUCAUCGUGUCACAAAAUAUAACGACAACAACAGAAUUCUACAAAUUAUUCAAUUGUCGAGUGUUGCAGCAGUUAGAUGCAACGCUUUAAAAUUUUCAAGUUUUUAAAUCGUCAAAAGAUGCAUAAAAUGGAUAUUUUAGAGCAUGGUAAAUAUUCAGUAUUACUGUUUCCUCACAAAUAUCAUAACUAUAACAAAAGUUUGCGAAUCUUAAACUUAUUUUUUAUGCCUCCCUUCGAAGAAGAGGGGGUAUAUUGCUUUGCACAUGUCUGUCGGUCGGUCCGUCCACCAGGUGGUUUCCGGAUGAUAACUCAAGAACGCUUGGGGCUAGGAUCAUGAAACUUCAUAUGUACAUUGAUCAUGACUCGCAGAUUACCCCUAUUGAUUUUGGAUCACUAGGUCAAAGGUCAAGUUCACGGUGACCCGAAAUAGUAAAAGGGUUUCUGGAUGAUAACUGAAGAACGCUUAUUCCUAGGAUCAUGAAACUUGAUAGGUAGAUUAAGUUAUCUAUCAUCCGGAAACCAUCUGGUGGACAGACCGACCAAGCAAAACAAUAUACCCUUUGAAGGGGGGCAUAAAAAGUGGGCUUGUAAAUGUAUCGGUACUUUAUUAUAAUAAGUGUGCUGUCUAUAAAUAUGGAUAUUAUUGUCAUAAAAAAAUAGAAGUUUUCCAGUAUAUUAGAUUGUUUCCGAAUGUAUUUACUAAACUUUACCCCUUUAUGAUUCUCUGUUCAAUUAUUUAGUCAUCUACUGUUAAAAUAUGUUGUUUACCUGUGCAAUUUUUUUGUAUUUUUAUUGAAAUGUUUAUCAUAAUAAUGUUUAUGGUAUUUGAUAACAGUUGCUAUAAUACUAGUUUUCAAUGAA